AAUUGCCAGUAACCGAGCGGGGUUCAAGGUUGGGGAAAAAAUAACUUAUAUUUAUCCAAGAUUUAUUAACAAGAGCUCAAUAGAGAAACGCCUCUCAAACUGAGGGCCAUGGAGAUCGCGUUUCAAAAUCGGUUUGGACAGCAUACCAGCAUACCAAUAUGCAGAAGAAGUUUGGAGCAGCUAGAUGAGUGGAUAACAUAAUUUAAUUAAAGGAACUAGCCAUGGCAGCGGACAGAAAGGUGGUUGGUUGUAAAGUUAAACAUAAAUCUUAAAACA